UAAGUUUCUACACGUAUAUAAAUUCCUUUUGAAUUUGAUUCGCUCUCGUCGUCUCAUCCGCCCCAUGACCACCGUAUCCUCUCCAAACCCUAAAAACCCUAAUUUUUCUUCCCCUUCAUGGCUCAGCACCACCAUUCCCCCACUGCACCCCACCACAUCCCGCCGGAUUCCGACUCUGGCCCCGACGACCCUUCCUCUUCCUCCUCUUUCCCCCCUCAAUUUCACCCUCAUAAUCCCACCCAAGACCCCACACAAUCCUCAGCCAUCUACCAUCUUUCCUUCAACCAAGACAACGGCUGCUUCGCGGCUGGCCUUGGCAACGGUUUCCGUAUCUACAAUACCGAUCCCUUCAAGCCCCUCUU
rnacentral:misc_RNA from 1 species